rnacentral:rRNA from 1 species
UACAGAGGGUGCGAGCGUUGUCCGGAAUCACUGGGCGUAAAGGGCGCGUAGGCGGCCUGCUAAGUAGAGGGUGAAAUCCUGCGGCUCAACCGCAGGGCUGCCUUCUAAACUGUCAGGCUGGAGCACGGUAGAGGCAGAUGGAAUUCCCGGUGUAGCGGUGGAAUGCGUAGAGAUCGGGAAGAAUACCCGUGGCGAAGGCGGCCAGCUGGGCCAGGUCCGACACUGAGGCGCGAAAGCGUGGGGAGCAAACAGG